AAUCAUCAUUAAGAGCUCUGAUCACGCCACCACUCCUCCGUGCUCUACGUCAGGCGAAAGCCACCUGUGUAUAAAAUGACGUACUGAUGCUUCAGUCUAGCAUAACGCAAUUUUUGUGCAAACAUAAUCUUUAAUUUCACUUUAAUCCUCAAAAACCAAACAAAAAACCAAAAAUGGGCGCUGAAAAAGUAACCAUGAACAUCGUUGUCGUCGGACAAGUCCAAUCUGCCAAGGCCAUCAAAUCGGUCGCCAAAGCCACCCCAGCCACCAGCCAAUUGAUGAACUGUUAAUUCAAGACCACAUCAAACUCAAACUCAAAAAUGCCAUAGCCCAAACAGUACUUAAUUUUAUAAUUUAUUUCUAAUUAUAAUAAUUACAUGUAUUGACAUUGCAAAAUAAAUCAGUAACUUCCGUCAAUUAA